CCAUGAGUGCUGUAGUGUGUGCUUUUAAAUCUUGGCUAUAAAAUAGAGCUUAAUAUUGUAUCAUGAAUAUUAUAUGGAGCAAAUUUUAGAGGAGAAAUUACUCAUGAAAAUCUUUUAGAAGAGAUGGAAUGUGCCUCCCCAAGAGAGGUAGGAUACACAAGAAGUCAUGCACAUUAACUUGUACUGGCAUAAGUGCUCCUACCAAGAGUAAACUGCUCACCGGAAGAAAUGCAGCUGGAAUUUGAAGAUCAUGUUAAAGGUCAAGUGGAGUGGUGCAAUGUUGAAGAACAGGAUGAUCCUAUUUUGUCACUCAGAUUGAAAAGCAAAGUGAUGUCCUGCUGAUGGUACCAGCACUAGCCUGCAAAGCCAGGAGCUGGAGCCAGUUUCAUGGCAAAAUGCUUACAGAGGUAUUACCAGUAGAUGGAGUUUUCAGUUUAAAAGAUUGUAAUAAUUCAUACAGGGACCUGGUACAGCUCUUUGUUUUAGUAUCUCUUAUUUAUACAUUAAAAUUGUCUUGCAACUCCA